UUCAAUCUUAGCUUCCAUAGUGGUUCUGCUGACAUCUACCCUACAUCAAUAAAAUCAGCUGAAAUAAUUUUAAAAGAUGCAACAGAAAACUUUCUCUAAAUUAUAAUCUUCCAGCAUAUUUCAGAAUUCACUCCACCUGUAUUCUGCGUAUUGGAUCUUGGAACAGAAGAUUAGCAAAGUGGAAUUGAUAAUACUUCCUGUCUUUGAAAGGUGCUGAAGAGUUAAUUCACUAAGCGACAAUUUAAAAAUAACACCUGAGUUAUCUCAGAGC
rnacentral:lncRNA from 1 species